rnacentral:rRNA from 1 species
UACAGAGGGUGCGAGCGUUAAUCGGAAUUACUGGGCGUAAAGCGUGCGUAGACGGUUAUUUAAGUCGGGUGUGAAAGCCCCGGGCUCAACCUGGGAAUUGCAUUCGAGACUGAAUAGCUAGGGUACGGUAGAGGGAAGUGGAAUUUCCGAUGUAGCGGUGAAAUGCGUAGAUAUCGGAAGGAACAUCAGUGGCGAAAGCGACUUCCUGGACCAGUACCGACGUUCAGGCACGAAAGCGUGGGGAGCAAACAGG